UACGUAGGGUGCAAGCGUUGUCCGGAAUCACUGGGCGUAAAGCGCACGCAGGCGGAUUGAUAAGUCAGGGGUGAAAUCCCGGAGCUCAACUUCGGAAUUGCCUUUGAUACUGUCUGUUCUGAGUCCGGGAGAGGUGAGUGGAAUUCCUAGUGUAGAGGUGAAAUUCGUAGAUAUUAGGAAGAACACCAGUGGCGAAGGCGGACUCACUGGCCCGGUACUGACGCUCAUGUGCGAAAGCGUGGGGAGCAAACAGG
rnacentral:rRNA from 1 species